rnacentral:lncRNA from 1 species
AGAAAAAGACCAAAAAAUUGCAUAGCUCCAUUGGGUGCUUCUAACUGCAAGAGCAAGCUGCUUUCUGAGAUUAUCUGGAACACCCUUUUGAUUUGCAGUAGCCAUUGUUGAGCUCAGACCCUUUUCCGCCUACAAUAUGCAGUGAAUACAGUAUUCCAAAAUCUAUACACGAUGAGAAGAAAGAUUCAAACUUGAAAAGCUGCCCAUCUUUAAUUUGAGACUAUAACAUGAUUGAAGACUGCAAGACUAACCAAAUUUAUGGCAGAAAAAGGAGGCUAAAUUAUUGGACCACUAGAGCUCUGAAUCCUGGGAUUGGUUCGAUAUAAGCUUGCUGGAAAUGGCACCUCAAGAUUCUUACAUAAAAUUACUUCCUUUGAUGGAGUGUUCAAC